GACUGCUUUUGUGCUCCAGGGUCACGAAUGUCUUGUAGAAUCAUGUAUUUUAAUGAACUACAAAUCCCACUUAGCCCCGUAUCCAGGAAAUAGGUCCCGUUGCUAAGCAAACUCACCCGCUGUGAGGCAGAAGUGAAUGCUGUUUACACUCGAAAGCUUUUGUAAGCACUGCUGUGAAACAAUAGGCCUACAUAGACAUUUCUUCAGGGCAGAUGCAAUAAAGGUUACAGAUGUCGAGUGAAGCAUUGAUAAAGAAGAGACCAGGCACAGCUCUGUCCUUCGUGACUGAGUUCAGUGGAUCUGGUUUAUUAAACCUCAAACUUGCUGCUGAUCCUGAAGAUCUUCUCGAUCAGAGACUCUCACCUCACAAACUGGUUCUAAACAUCAAACAUGGACAACAUGUGUGCAGUGUGAAAACCUCAUGGUAUUUCUGAAAUAAAGAGCAACAGGAUUGAGAAAAACUGAGGUUUAGGCUAACUGUUUUUUCAGAAAAUUAUUUCUGGAUCAGAUGAUUUACAGGAAGUGAGGUCACUGGAGAUGUGUGUUGAUACGCGA
ensembl:lncRNA